AUUGAACGCUGGCGGCAGGCCUAACACAUGCAAGUCGAACGAGUGGCGGACGGGUGAGUAAUGUCUGGGAAACUGCCUGAUGGCGGGGGAUAACUACUGGAAACGGUAGCUAAUACCGCAUACCAUCGGAUGUGCCCAGAUGGGAUUCGCUAGUGGGUGGGGUAACGGCUCUCCUUGGCGAUGCUCCCUAGCUGGUCUGAGAGGAUGACCACCCACACUGGAACUGAGACACGGUCCAUACGCCUACGGGAGGCAGAAGUGGGGAAUAUUGCACAAUGGUCGCAGGCCUGAUGCAGCCAUGCCGCGUGUGUGAAGAAGGCCUUCGGGUUGUAAAGCACAUUCAGCGGGGAGGCGUUACCCGCAGAAGAAGCACCGGCUAACUCCGUGCCAGCAGCCGCGGUAAUUC
rnacentral:rRNA from 1 species